GCGACACGAGGCUCACGCUGCAGACUGCCAUGAAUGCGCUCAGCACUGUUUGCCGAGGCUGUGGAUUACAGGUGGCUUGUCUUUGCUGGGACAUCUGCUCAAACUUAAGACCCAGUGUCCAGAGUCGUGCUAGGACAUACACACAGGAUACAUUCCACAGUGCAGAUCCCAAGACAAUGAAUGAAGGACAAGAAGUGGACAACAAUCAGAUUCAAAGGCAAUGAAUUAAUCCGACGCAUUUGCUGCAAUGAAGACACGGCUGAUCUGAUAGGACGCUGCAGUGUGUCUGAUGGACAGCCGAUUACACACAGACUUCCUCUGAGGACAGACCGACAGAAGGUGACCUCACUAAGAAGGACGAGUGACAGUAUGACAUCUGCCAAAUGCAAACAGACACACACAAAAAGAAACAAGCAAUAUAAACCCGUUUAUUUGCUUCCCUGAACAUUUUAUUUUUAACUUACAACCUUUACAUUUUCAAGGCAACUUGGGAAUGUUCAACAAAACCAUCAUUCAUUUUGGCUCGACCUAUGAAAAGUAAUCAAAACAUUAGAAAACCAAAAGUAAAUGGAGCAUAAGUAUAAAGUACUUCCCUCUUUAAAAAAAAAAAAAAAAAAAAAAGAAGGAAAAAAAAUAA